UGCCCCGCCCCGGAGGCCGAGCUUCCCACCUCAUGACUAUUCAGUGAGGCGUGGCCACGUCCCUCGGCGCGCUCCGCGGCGACCGGGGAGAAGUGCGCGGAGCCGGUCGGAACCAUCUGUGGCCUAGGCAGGGAAUGAGGAAUGUACCAUCUGAGGCCCCGGCCGCGCAGGGCGUCAGGCGCAGACUGUCCACGCGCGGUUAGACGCUCUUUGGGUGCAGACUCCCGCCCUUCCCGCCGCCUUGCUGCCGGAGUUCUGCUGCCCAGGUCUCCCUGGGCCCCCGUUAGAAAAGGGAUAUAAACAAGGGACAGACCAAUGGGGGUAUGGUAACACGUGUCUCUUCUACGUAGGAGGAGGAACUCAGGGAUGAGUGAACUCCAGGAGGCUGCAGAACUGAGCCUCCUACCUCCUUCAGCUAAGGCUCUUUGGAAAACUUACAAGGACUAAAUUCUAUGCUCAAGGAAUGUGCCCACCGACUCUGUGUGAACAUGCGACUCUGACCUUGAACUGAAAGUGCUCAGGAAUGUGUCUGCCUGGACAUGUGACAGUGCAUCUUCCCUCUGUGAAUAUGUGCUUGGCUUCCUACAUUUAUUGGAUUCUCCUGCUGUCACGCAAACUCCCUUGACCCACAGAGCCGAGCGUCAGCAGGACCCGGGUGAAGGUUAACCCGUCUCCUCAAAGUCCCUUCCAUUCCCUGCUCACCUGCCCCUGGGACCAACGAGUUAUAAGUAAAACCUUACUAUUUAUCAUUUAUGAGACUGGAAACGUUACACAAAUGGAUUCUAGAAAUAAAUUGUCAGCGACUGGACAACAUA